GAGUGGCAGGAUGUUGCGAGAAAGCCCCGCUUACCAGACCAGGGCGUAAAAGGUGGGAAUGCAAAGGGCGGGGGGCAUCUCCAAAUGCACAUAUAUACUGGUGGGGAUUAUUUUCGGGGUGGAAGUUGGCCUGCCCUUACACAAGCGAGGACUUCAGCGGGUGCCGGUUACUCCGCUUCCGAGCACGACCGUGCCAGGGAAGAAGGGCAGGCAGCAGGAAGCGCCCUCUUUCCUGGGAAUCGGGAGGGGAGCUCCCCUGGAGCUGGUGGGUCUCUCACCUCGGGAAGGGGCGGAGCCUCGGCUCAGCCAGGAUGGAGGCGCUGGGAAGAAGAGCAGCCGGCGGCCUCACCUCCAUGAGGAGGAGGGGGGUGUAGAUGGACGAGCAGAUCCCGGUGAGGCUGUGGAACUUUAAACCAGUGUCUGGAGACAGUUUUGCCAGCUGAGAUACAUGCUCGGUAAAAUUUAGAUUAGAUUACUGCAAUGUGAUCCAUGUGGGGUUUCCCAUGAAGUGUUUUUGGAAACUAUAGCUGGUACAAAAUGUUGCAGCAAGAAUAUUGUCUGGAUUGGGACAUAGGAUCUGCAUCACCCCAGUUUGGUUCCAUAUGUACUGGUUUUCCAAUCUGUUUCUAUACCCAAUUCAAGGUGCUGGUAUUGACAUCUACAGUGCAGUUCAGCCCAGAACCUACAUGGCUUAAGGACUGCCUACUCCCAUACAAAUAUAUCCAAUCCUUAUGCUCAUUUCCAGGAGCCCUGCAUUGGUCACCCCCAUCAUCUGAGGCUAGAGGGGUGGCAACCCAAGAAAGGGCUGUCUUGAUCAUGGCACCCAAAUAUUGUCUGUUCUUCUUUUCAUUGCCUUCCACCAGACUUUUAUGCUUUGUCUGGAGUUCCCUUACUAACUUUCCUUCUUGAAUGUUUUAAUUGCUGGUUUUAUAUGUAUGCACAGUUUUUAAAGUUCCUUUUUAAGAUAUCUUUUUAUUCGUUGUUUGCUGCCUUUUGGGCCUUCACUGAGCAGAAAGUCAGGAUAAAAAUGUUUAAAAUAAACUAAUAAAAAUA